ACAAGCUGAAACAAAUUCCGUUUAUACGUUUGUAUCCAAAUGUGAAACUAAUGCUUGAGGAAACACAGAGGUGCUUGCAGAAGCUCUGACCUUUAGUCUUUAACUACUCAGGACUGGCUGCUCCGCAUCAAUGUAAUCCCUCGAAGUGUUUAAGGUAUUAGAGUAUGGUGGUGUGGCGAGGGAAUAACAAAUUUGACAACUUAAGAUAUAAGAGAUGGAAAAGUACUUGGUGUUAAACAAGUGUUGUUAAUACUAGACUCAAGUACUAUAGCUGUGAGACUUACAAACAUAAACCUCAUAUCCCUCUGCUUCUCUUCUAUUUGAUGCACAAAAACAGUCUUUGUCACAUCCAAAUUAAGGUUAAUACAAUCCAUCAGCAGCCCUAAUGCAAAAGCUAAUGGUCUUUGUUUGACUGUGUGACAGGUUGUUUGCUGAAGGCCUCCAAGUGUGACAGAUCGUGCCACCAUGCAGGAGUAAACACACCUACAGAAUGGCAAAUUAGACAGUUGACGGCAAAGCAGGGGGAUGGGUUCAUGAUCAUUUCUCUUUUAUAAGCGGUUUAUCUGUGAGUUGUAUGUAUGUGUCAUAUCUGUGUGUCUCUAACACAAGUUUUUUAAAUAGCAAAUUCUUAUUCAGAGCCACAUACGCUGAGGGAACUUACCAUAAUAUGAUAUGGGACACUCUGCAUUCCAGAGUCAAUAAACUAUUAGCUAAUUCAAACACUGAGUGAGUGAAGGAGUGUGUUGCACAACAGAAUUGGCACAUUCCUGGAGUGGUAAUUGAAGAAUGGAGGUCAACGAGCGGGAGAGGCCGGAGCAGUGACACUGCUAAAAUCCAUUCAGCCCUGCGUCUGUGUGUGUGUGUGUGUGUGUGUGUGUGAGACACUCAGUUAGGCCAACACCUUUUGUGACAGGAGCCGCUCAGCUGUGACAGUCCUGCUCUGGGGCCAGAUUACACCUUUUCACAUGGUCUGUGUUGACAAGACGGAUCAGUCCGGCUGGAUGAAAAGCCCCCUAAAGUUCACUAUUUCUAAUCUCCUUUUGAUGUCUGUGGAAGGCCCAUCUGACAUCCUCCAGCAGGUCUGUCUGCUCUCCAGUAGUGAGGGACAGAGUCUGUUUCUUUCAGCCUACUGGUUUACAGUGGUAGAAAAGCCAUUUUUGGGAGAUCAGCAGAAGAUAACAUCAAAACAAAUGUUAACACUAAUGUAAUUGCCUUCACCUCCCUGAUUGCACGCAGAAGAAUUCUCCUGCUGUGGAAAUCAUCUCUGCCUCCAUCCAUCUUAAUCGUGGAUAUGUGAUGUCCUUAAAACUGGAAAAAGUCUACAUUUCCAGGUUGCUCUGAUAGAUUCUAUUUCAACCAUCAAUCGAUUAUUUUGAUCAGCUGCCUGCUAGCAAAAUUUCCCAGUGGAGGAAUGCUCUGUGCCUGUCUGUGAGUGUGUGAGUACUUUGCUGCAUGUCCGCCACCCAGCCCCUCUCUGAGGAGUUAUGUGUGAUUGAUUAUGAGUUUACAUGUUCUCCUGUCUUUCGCCACUCUCUCUUUUUACUUUUAGUCACUUCCAAUGUUAGUAACAUAUACAUUUGUUAUUUAUACAACCAUACUGUCAUUUCAUUCCUUGUAGAAGAGGACUCUGGGAUGGGGGGUAAACAGUCACCGACCUGUUUAUUCUGAGCUGGGAAGAAACAUUGUUAAAACUAUAGAUGCUCUCUGUACUAUUUCUCUGACUAUCUACAACAUUUUGCUGCAUUUUCUUCAAUAAAAUAUUGGUUAAUAAAUAUGUAAAACUGGAGAAAUAAAGCCACUGAAAUAAAACAUAAGAUAAAUGA